GACGAACGCUGGCGGCGUGCCUAACACAUGCAAGUCGAACGGUGAAGCCCUUCGGGGUGGAUCAGUGGCGAACGGGUGAGUAACACGUGAGCAACCUGCCCCUGGCUCUGGGACAACCACUGGAAACGGUGGCUAAUACCGGAUACGACCCGCCUCGGCAUCGAGUGUGGGUGGAAAGUUUUUCGGCUGGGGAUGGGCUCGCGGCCUAUCAGCUUGUUGGUGAGGUGAAGGCUCACCAAGGCGACGACGGGUAGCCGGCCUGAGAGGGCGACCGGCCACACUGGGACUGAGACACGGCCCAGACUCCUACGGGAGGCAGCAGUGGGGAAUAUUGCACAAUGGGCGAAAGCCUGAUGCAGCGACGCCGCGUGAGGGAUGACGGCCUUCGGGUUGUAAACCUCUUUCAGCUCCGAGAAGCGAAAGUGACGGUAGGAGCAGAAGAAGCACCGGCUAACUACGUG
rnacentral:rRNA from 1 species